rnacentral:rRNA from 1 species
UGGGGAAUCUUAGACAAUGGGCGCAAGCCUGAUCUAGCCAUGCCGCGUGAGCGAUGAAGGCCUUAGGGUUGUAAAGCUCUUUCAGUGGGGAAGAUAAUGACUGUACCCACAGAAGAAGCCCCGGCUAACUCCGUG